UACAGAGGGGGCAAGCGUUGUUCGGAAUUACUGGGCGUAAAGGGCGCGUAGGUGGCCUUCUAAGUUGAACGUGAAAUCCCUGGGCUCAACCCAGGAACUGCGUCCGAUACUGGAUGGCUUGAAUCCGGGAGAGGGAUGCAGAAUUCCAGGUGUAGCGGUGAAAUGCGUAGAUAUCUGGAGGAAUACCGGUGGCGAAGGCGGCAUCCUGGACCGGCAUUGACGCUGAGGAGCGAAAGCCAGGGGAGCAAACGGG
rnacentral:rRNA from 1 species